UGGGGAAUAUUGCACAAUGGGGGAAACCCUGAUGCAGCGACGCCGCGUGAACGAAGAAGGUAUUCGUAUCGUAAAGUUCUGUCCUAUGGGAAGAUAAUGACAGUACCAUAGAAGAAAGCUCCGGCUAAAUACGUGCCAGCAGCCGCGGUAAUACGUAUGGAGCGAGCGUUGUCCGGAAUUAUUGGGCUUAAAGGGUACGCAGGCGGUUUAAUAAGUCGAAUGUUAAAGAUCGGGGCUCAACCCCGCAAAGCAUUGGAAACUGAUAAACUUGAGUAGUGGAGAGGAAAGUGGAAUUCCUAGUGUAGUGGCGAAAUACGUAGAUAUUAGGAGGAAUACCAGUAGCGAAGGCGACUUUCUGGACACAAACUGACGCUGAGGUACGAAAGCGUGGGGAGCAAACAGG
rnacentral:rRNA from 1 species